rnacentral:lncRNA from 1 species
UGGUUAUUGAAAGUUUGAAACUUACAUCGAAGAACACGACAUUGCGAUUAGCAUAACGAUCGUUGCGAUCUAUACCGUCGAAUCGUUGCGGGAACUGGACGUAACAGAGCUUUUUACCCAACUGUGGGUCCAUUAAGAAGCACAUAGCUUCUCUUACAGCUUUACUGUUGUUGACAUAGUGAUCACAAUCCAGAUUGAGCAUGAAUGGUGCAUUUGUAAGCACUGCCGACACUCGAAUCUGGGCGUUCAUGGCUCCGGCUUUCUUGUGAUGGUUAUAACCGGGUCGUUUUUCACGCGAAACGUAAACCAGUUUCGGUAAU